GACGACCGCUGGCGGCGUGCUUAGCACAUGCAAGUCGAGCGGUGCGGCGAACGGGUGAGUUACGCGUGAGUAACUGCCCUCCUCCCUGGGAUAACAGUUGGAAACGGCUGCUAAUACCGGAUAGUGGGGGAUGACUCGAGGCCUAUCAGCUUGUUGGGGGGGUAGAGGCCUACCAAGGCGACGGCGGGUAGCCAGCCUGAGAGGGCGACCGGCCACAUUGGGCUGAGAUACGGCCCAAACACAUACUGGAGGCAGCAGUGGGGAAUAUUGCACAAUGGGGGAAACCCUGAUGCAGCGACGCCGCGUGGGGGAUGACGGGCGUCGGGGUGUAAACCGCUUUGAGCUAUGACGCGGUAGUGACAGAAGAAGCACCGGCUAACUACGUGCCAGCAGCCGCGGUAAUUC
rnacentral:rRNA from 1 species